AAUGAACGUUGGCGGCGUGCCUAAUACAUGCAAGUCAACUGAAAUACCGGUAGCAAUACUGGUAUGGAGGUGGCGCACGGGUGAGUAACACGUAGGUAAUCUGCCUUCAGGUCUGACAUAACCCAUCGAAAGGUGAGCUAAUAUCAGAUGAUGCAGCGGCUUGACAUCAAGACAGUUGUUAAAGCUUCGGCGCCUGAAGAUGAGCCNGCGUCUGAUUAGCUAGUUGGCGGGGUAACGCCCACCAAGGCUGCGAUCAGUAGCUGGUCUGAGAGGAUGAU
rnacentral:rRNA from 1 species